GGUGCUGUAUCUCAGCCAGUGAUCUCUGUGUUUAUCUUGUAUCUGUGUAGGUGCUGUAUCUCAGCCAGUGAUCUCUGUUUUAUCUUGUGUCUGUAGGUGCUGUAUCCCAGCCAGUGAUCUCUAUUAAUGGAACCAAAGGCUGGGGGGUGGUCCUGAAGUGUAACUCUGGAGGCUGGUACCCACAGCCUGAGCUUGAGUUGUUGGACUAUCAUGGAAACAUCCUCUCUGCUAGCGAACCCACUGAGACAAGCGACUCGUCAGAGACCGAGAUUCACCCUGAGGGUUGCUACACCGUGAGACGAUAUGUCACCAUCCAGAAGACUGACGAUAACAGGUUCACCUGUAGAGUCGUACAGCUGCAGAUCAACCAGACGCGGGAGACUCAGAUUCAUGUCCCAGACGAUAUGUUUCCUAGCGUGUGGUGGAUUGUGGGUAUAGUAGCAGGAGCUGUAGUGGCCUUUGCAGCUUUUGCUGUUCUGCUCUACUUUUGCAGAAAACAACGUGAUAAACUCAGAAAAGAAG